GACGUAGGGCGCGAGCGUUGUCCGGAUUUAUUGGGCGUAAAGAGCUCGUAGGCGGCUUGUCGCGUCGACUGUGAAAACUCGGGGCUCAACUCCGAGCUUGCAGUCGAUACGGGCAGGCUAGAGUUCGGUAGGGGAGACUGGAAUCCUGGUGUAGCGGUGAAAUGCGCAGAUAUCAGGAGGAACACCGGUGGCGAAGGCGGGUCUCUGGGCCGAUACUGACGCUGAGGAGCGAAAGCGUGGGGAGCGAACAGG
rnacentral:rRNA from 1 species